rnacentral:rRNA from 1 species
GACGAACGCUGGCGGCGUGCCUAAUACAUGCAAGUAGAACGCUGAAGGAGGAGCUUGCUUCUCUGGAUGAGUUGCGAACGGGUGAGUAACGCGUAGGUAACCUGCCUGGUAGCGGGGGAUAACUAUUGGAAACGAUAGCUAAUACCGCAUAAUAGUAGAUGUUGCAUGACAUUUGCUUAAAAGGUGCAAUUGCAUCACUACCAGAUGGACCUGCGUUGUAUUAGCUAGUUGGUGAGGUAACGGCUCACCAAGGCGACGAUACAUAGCCGACCUGAGAGGGUGAUCGGCCACACUGGGACUGAGACACGGCCCAGACUCCUACGGGAGGCAGCAGUAGGGAAUCUUCGGCAAUGGACGGAAGUCUGACCGAGCAACGCCGCGUGAGUGAAGAAGGUUUUCGGAUCGUAAAGCUCGGUUGUAAGAGAAGAACGAGUGUGAGAGUGGAAAGUUCACACUGUGACGGUAUCUUACCAGAAAGGGACGGCUAACUACGUG